UGACCUGAAAAUGAGUGAGGGGAUGCUACUCAGCUUGCCCUUGAGAAAGGAUCACCGCAAGUGUCUACUGAUGAUGGUUCGAGUAGUCCUGCAACUGUGCACAAGUUGAAAGUUGACACAGAAGAUGCUGGAAGCAAAAUUGAAUCACCCACUCCAGAGAAGCUUGAAUCUAGAAGCAAAUGGAUUGUUGUGAGUUCGUUGGCAAGGAAUUUACUUGCAGAGAGGUACAAAGAUAGAUUUGCAAAUCAGUUCCUGGAAGAUGAGGGUGACAUAGAUGAUGAAGACUAUAAUGACAGUAUUUGGCCCAAAUGAAGUAUUUGUUUCCAGAAGCAAUCCAGUUUAAGAGGGUACUUCUACAUGACGAGAAAAGCCUAUGCAUGUAUGCUGAUAUGGAAAUCAUACUUGUAAUGGAUGUUGUGGAAUACACAAGUCCUGAUCACUCUCCAUCCAUGGCAAUUUGCGAUGCUUUUUACUCGAAGCUUUUGACAUUUUUGGAUGCUCAUCAUAAGGUCCCAGCCAAAGAGCAAGUUGAUGCACUAUUAAAGGAAUUGUUUGCACUUUCAACUGUCACGGGUAUUUUGAGCACACUGCUGGCUACUUGUGUUAUUGUUGACCAAUAAAAUCUAUAAUUUAUCUGAACAAAUUGAUGCAAUUGUCUCCCUGUUCUAAAAUUCAAUGGUAGUCACAGAUCUUAGAGAGCUCUAUAUGUUUCUGUUAGUAUGAUUGUGUUAAGUUUAUAUGUUCUAUCUUGCCAGUUUGCUCUCUAGCAGCUGAUAAUUAAUAUGGUUGCAGUUGCAGCUCAUGUCUAUAGACAAUAGAUGAUAUCCCAGUAGAUGCA